UCAGACUAACAAAAAAUUUGGCGAUGGCUUCAUUUCAUACAUGUUUCAAAACAGCGCUGAUCUCUGUUAUGCUGUAUGUCUUGGCCUGUCUAACUGUCACACAACAGACAACCACAGUUGGUAAUGUAUUGUGCAGUGGAGACGUUGUUCAUCUGUUCCGUUCAUAUAUAAGGAGAAUCACAUCCAUAAACACAAGUAGUUACAAAUUAUAGA